rnacentral:rRNA from 1 species
UACAGAGGUCUCAAGCGUUGUCCGGAUUCAUUGGGCGUAAAGGGUGCGUAGGUGGCCUCGUAAGUCGGGUGUGAAAUUUCGGAGCUUAACUCCGAAACUGCAUUCGAUACUGCGGUGCUUGAGGACUGGAGAGGAGACUGGAAUUGAUGGUGUAGCAGUGAAAUGCGUAGAGAUCAUGAGGAAGACCAGUGGCGAAGGCGGGUCUCUGGACAGUUCCUGACGCUGAGGCGCGAAGGCGAGGGGAGCAAACGGG